CUCGUAGGCGGUUUGUCGCGUCGGGAGUGAAAUCCACUGGCCUAACUGGUGGCUUGCUUUCGAUACGGGCAGACUGGAGGUAUGCAGGGGAGAACGGAAUUCCUGGUGUAGCGGUGAAAUGCGCAGAUAUCAGGAGGAACACCGGUGGCGAAGGCGGUUCUCUGGGCAUGUCCUGACGCUGAGGAGCGAAAGUGUGGGGAGCGAACA
rnacentral:rRNA from 1 species